ACUAUCCUACGGGACGCAGCAGUGGGGAAUAUUGCACAAUGGGGGAAACCCUGAUGCAGCAACGCCGCGUGAAGGAAGGCGGUUUUCGGAUUGUAAACUUCUGUUCUUAGUGAAGAAAAAUGACGGUAGCUAAGGAGCAAGCCACGGCUAACUACGUGCCAGCAGCCGCGGUAAUACGUAGGUGGCAAGCGUUGUCCGGAAUUACUGGGUGUAAAGGGAGCGCAGGCGGGAAGCCAAGUCAGCUGUGAAAAAUACGGGCUUAACUUGUAGACUGCAGUUGAAACUGGUUUUCUUGAUUGAAGUAG
rnacentral:rRNA from 1 species